rnacentral:rRNA from 1 species
UACGAAGGGGGCUAGCGUUGCUCGGAAUGACUGGGCGUAAAGGGCGCGUAGGCGGAUGGCACAGUCAGAUGUGAAAUUCCUGGGCUUAACCUGGGAGCUGCAUUUGAUACGUGUGAUCUAGAGUGAGGAAGAGGGUUGUGGAAUUCCCAGUGUAGAGGUGAAAUUCGUAGAUAUUGGGAAGAACACCGGUGGCGAAGGCGGCGACCUGGUCCUUAACUGACGCUGAGGCGCGAAAGCGUGGGGAGCAAACAGG